rnacentral:rRNA from 1 species
UACGUAGGGGGCGAGCGUUGUCCGGAUUUAUUGGGCGUAAAGAGCGUGUAGGCGGCCAGGUAGGUCUGCUGUGAAAACUCGAGGCUCAACCUCGAGACGUCGGCGGAAACCAUCUGGGCUAGAGUCCGGAAGAGGAGAGUGGAAUUCCUGGUGUAGCGGUGAAAUGCGUAGAUAUCAGGAGGAACACCGGUGGUGUAGACGGCUUCUGGACCGACACUGACGCUGAGACACGAAAGCGUGGGUAG